rnacentral:rRNA from 1 species
GCACUUUGAAGAGAGAGUUAAAGAGGACGUGAAACCGAUGAGAUGGAAACGGACAGAGCUAGCGUAUCUGGCUUGCAUUCAGCUUAUGCGGUCGCUACCGAUGCGUCGCUGACCUCCAGAUUGGGGCUUUGACUAGUCGGUCGGUGGCUGUGUUGUGCAUUUGCAAGUGGAGUGCGUCGAGGCAUCUGGGAUGGCGGAAUGAACUUGGCUUUGAGGCCAGCUUGCUGGUACCCGGGCCUGGGGAUUUCUGUUCGUUCUAGGUGUUUUUGCGGUCGAACAAGGCUUUGCGAGCCUGGUUGGGUGCCGAGCUGGGUGUCGGUGGCGGUCGCAUGCGACACGUACUGUGCCACCAGUUCGGUCCUGGCCGAGCUCACUCCAUGUUCAAUCUCGGCGUAAAAGCUGGUCAUCUUUCCGACCCGUCUUGAAACACGGACCAAGGAGUUUAUCGUGUGCGCGAGUCAUUGGGCGUUGAAAACCCAAAGGCGCAAUGAAAGUAAAUGUAUCCGCUCGGAACUGAUGUGCGACCCUGGUCACUGCGGUGGCCAGGAGCAGCAUGGCCCCAUCCUGACUGCUUGCAGUGGGGUGGAGGAAGAGCGUACGCGAUGAGACCCGAAAGAUGGUGAACUAUUCCUGAGCAGGAUAAAGCCAGAGGAAACUCUGGUGGAAGUCCGAAGCGAUUCUGACGUGCAAAUCGAUCGUCUGACUU